UACGAGAGGUGCAAACGUUAUUCGGAAUCAUUGGGCGUAAAGGGUGCGUAGACGGCAUAAUAAGUCUGUUGUUAAAAACUCCAGCCUAACUGGAGUGGUGCAAUGGAAACUAUUAAGCUAGAGGGUGAGAGAGAGAAGUGGAAUUCCCGGAGUAGCGGUCAAAUGCGUAGAUCUCGGGAGGAACACCGAUGGCGAAGGCAGCUUCUUGGCUCAUUCCUGACGUUGAUGCACGAAAGCGUGGGGAGCAAACAGG
rnacentral:rRNA from 1 species